CCCGCCACUGGUAAGUUGAUUUCGGUAAAAUUUCGGAAGGAAAAACUUUCAGAUCAGUGGGGGGAGAGGGGGCGAGAUGGUUUUUAUCUGCAUAGAUCCUGCGCAAAUUAAUCACUGCCAGGUGAUUUGGCUGGCAAAAAGUUUUAAGGGGUUAAUGUUUGCUUGGUCAAAAGGGUAUUUUGGGCUGGGAUUGAUGUGGUAAUGUUUUGUGAUGUGUGCUGAGUAUUUUUAUUUAGGAUUUUCCCGUGUGUAUGGGACAUGGGUGGUAGAUACAAUCGAAGGCAAUGAUCCUCGAUGCGAACGAACCUUUGCUGAAGUUGCCUAGGUACUGGAAAGUGUAUGAUUUAAGUUAGAUCUUGUUUUCCAGGUGCGGAUGCGGAUUUUCCUCAUUGCUCUUUUGAAAUCUCUCAAACUCCUCCCAGCAAUUACUCUUUUAAGAUCCUCUGAAGUCAAUUGCCACAUAAAGAACUUCCGGCUCAGAACUUGAUCUGUUCUCCCCGGUAUAGGUGUUUGUAUAGGUGUUUGUCCGUAUACACAGUGAACGAUAAAUCUGGAGUCAUUGAGCAGGGGGCUAAGAGAAAAGGAAAUCAUACAUCAUAUUGAUUAUUAAGGAAGAAAAAUCAACCGAAUGACAACAGCGCAGUGUUUAUCCGUCACAUACCGAGCUGGAUAUUGAAGAAUAUGGGGGUGAAUUUUCUUGAGGACCUUCCUCUCGUUCCGACGCAGAAGUGAUACCAAGCUUCUUUGGGGCCAGUUAAUGGUUAUCUGGGAAAAUUUAUUACAUCUUAUCAUCAUCGAUGUCCAGAUAUAGCUGACUUGUGGAUUGUUUCCGGUUUGCCGUGUCCAAUUCUGGAAAUUGGGUCUCUUUUGGGAGGUGGGGAGCGUGGCCUGGAUUGAAACGUACCCAACCUCGGUCAAUCUUUGGCAAUUAAACCAAGGCAUUCGGUUUAAGGUUGGGUUCCAUUUUCGGGAGCCAUGUGGUCCAUAUUCGUUUCCUAACGAGUAACUUGACAAGGUAGGGGCUUUCCCCCUUCAGUUUCAAGAGGUAGAGAGGUUCAGGGCGAAGGCAUUCAACGCCGAAUCAGUUCGGAGCAAGGAGUUCGGCAUGUUGCUGCCAGCGUAACCACGGUUCUUCCAGCGGGGCCUUCUUUUACUUCUUUAUAUAUAUAUCACUCUUAUCCAUGGAUGCGGUCAUCUCGAUUUUGGAGCUCAAAAUAUUCGCGUCACUGCUGCAACUGUAAGCUUGCUUGCAUAUGGUUUAAAAUGGCUGCGCACGAUGAAAGUUCGCUCACCCUGAAAAGCAUGUUCAACCCGUUUUAAAACCACCACUUCAAAAAUCUACCUUGUGCGCGGAUAUCCUCUCGAGAAUUUACAGGUCCCUGGAUUUUGGGCCGUCGCAAGACAAACGCAUGUUGCAAAAGUUUGUUGGUUUACGAUGACGUGCUGUGUCAUGAUGAAGCCGAAAAGCUGUUGGAGCUAGCGUAGCGGCCGCCAAGCCACGGGAAGCUAAUCAUCGAAAUUCAGUGGGCCGAGUAGGGCUCUGCCGAAUCGAAGACGAUGAUUCCAUUUGGGACUGAUUCCGAAUAUCGCCGGAGUCCUUCCGUACUGUGCGCCCGUUUUCAUCAU
rnacentral:sRNA from 1 species